UUACGUUCAUAUCACGUUAGAACACUGGUUCUCGUACGAUCACCGAAAUUAAGCAACGUCGAUCUUGGUCAGUGUCUAGAUGGGUGACAGCUUGGGAAUACCAAGUGCUGUAAG